rnacentral:rRNA from 1 species
UACGAAGGGGGCUAGCGUUGUUCGGAAUUACUGGGCGUAAAGCGCGCGCAGGCGGCUAUCCAAGUCAGUGGUGAAAGCCCGGAGCUCAACUCCGGAACUGCCAUUGAAACUGUUUAGCUUGAGGACGAGAGAGGUGAGUGGAAUUCCCAGUGUAGAGGUGAAAUUCGUAGAUAUUGGGAAGAACACCGGUGGCGAAGGCGGCUCACUGGCCCGAUACUGACGCUGAGGCACGAAAGCGUGGGGGAGCAAACAGG